AAAAAUGAUAAUGACCAAACAACUCGGAAGAGACUAGCGUUCGUGGGGAUAUUGAGCACCCUCAACAUGGAAAAGUAUAAUUUGAUAGAGCCUACUAACCAUACGGAUCGGAGGGCAAGCUAAAGAUGAUGCAAGGAUAUUCUCUUUAGUCUGCCUUUUGCUUUUUAUCCAUUAUUUUUUGUUUUUUCUUUUUGCCAGAAAGAAUGUCUGGUUGUGAUGGACCACGCAGAUCAUUUCUUCUUUUUGGAAGGAAAAGGCUGUAAAGCGAAGCUACCGAUCCAUAGAAAGAAUCCUACAAUUUGUCCUACUACACUACACGUCGCAAGCCAGGGGAUCCAUACCCUUCCUUGUAUCACAAGUUAACGUCCUUACCGGUAUAGGGAUCUCUGAAAAGAGAAAAGCUACUCUAGCCAAUAGGUGGUCCAGAAGAUUCCUUUAAUUAAUUUCAUUUGUGCAUCUAGCACUACAACGGAAAUACUUCCUCGAUUACGAAAUAUACUCCCUUAGAGAGUCAAAGUUUUUAAAGUUUAACCAAAAUUAUAGCGAGAAUUACAAAGAUUUAUGACAUAAAAUAGAUAUAGUAUGAAAAUAUAUUUAAUGGAGAAUCUAAUGGUAUACAUUUGAUAUAGUAAACGUUAUUACUUUAUUGUAUAAAUUUUGUCAAACUUGAAAAAACUUUGACUCUUCAAGAAUCUUGGAAUGACUUGUAUUUUGGAACGGAGGGAGUUAGAAAUUGAGAGUUCGAUUUUUUUUACCAAAACAACUAUAUAUAAACAAACACUCUAAAAGACAACAUAGCUACCAUUUGUGUCUAUCCCAGCCUAAAUAUAGUAAUCGGAAAGGAUUAUAUAAGUCAUUUGUUGUACCAUGUAGUAAUUUCUAAAAUUAAUUAGGUACCUAACAUUUCAGAGCAGAGGGGAGUACUCACUUCCUAUGUGUCGAUAAAGUUUGAGUACCCGUUUUUACGUUUUUCUAAGUCCGGACGCUAAGUGACACAAUGUGUCAAGUUCGUGAACUCCUAGUAUACUUUACUCUUUUAAUUACAUGGAAAAAUGAUAAUGACUAAACAACUCGGAAGAGACUAGCGUUCGUGGGGAUACUUGAGCACCCUCAACAUGGAAAAGUAUAAUUUGAUAGAACCUACUAACCAUACGGAUCGGAGGGCAAGCUAAAGAUGAUGCAAGGAUAUUCUCUUUAGUCUGUCUUUUGCUUUUUAUCCAUUAUUUUUUGUUUUUUCUUUUUGCCAGAAAGAAUGUCUGGUUGUGAUGGACCACGCAGAUCAUUUCUUCUUUUUGGAAGGAAAAGGCUGUAAAGCGAAGCUACCGAUCCAUAGAAAGAAUCCUACAAUUUGUCCUACUACACUACACGUCGCAAGCCAGGGGAUCCAUACCCUUCCUUGUAUCACAAGUUAACGUCCUUACCGGUAUAGGGAUCUCUGAAAAGAGAAAAGCUGCUCUAGCCAAUAGGUGGUCCAGAAGAUUCCUUUAAUUAAUUUCAUUUGUGCAUCUAGCACUACAACGGAAAUACUUCCUCGAUUACGAAAUAUACUCCCUUAGAGAGUCAAAGUUUUUAAAGUUUAACCAAAAUUAUAGCGAGAAUUACAAAGAUUUAUGACAUAAAAUAGAUAUAGUAUGAAAAUAUAUUUAAUGGAGAAUCUAAUGGUAUACUUUUGAUAUAGUAAACGUUAUUACUUUAUUGUAUAAAUUUUGUCAAACUUGAAAAAACUUUGACUCUUCAAGAAUCUUGAAAUGACUUGUAUUUUGGAACGGAGGGAGUUAGAAAUUGAGAGUUCGAUUUUUUUUACCAAAACAACUAUAUAUAAACAAACACUCUAAAAGACAACAUAGCUACCAUUUGUGUCUAUCCCAGCCUAAAUAUAGUAAUCGGAAAGGAUUAUAUAAGUCAUUUGUUGUACCAUGUAGUAAUUUCUAAAAUUAAUUAGGUACCUAACAUUUCAGAGCAGAGGGGAGUACUCACUUCCUAUGAGUCGAUAAAGUUUGAGUACCCGUUUUUACGUUUUUCUAAGUCCGGACGCUAAGUGACACAAUGUGUCAAGUUCGUGAACUCCUAGUAUACUUUACUCUUUUAAUUACAUGGAAAAAUGAUAAUGACUAAACAACUCGGAAGAGACUAGCGUUCGUGGGGAUAUUUGAGCACCCUCAACAUGGAAAAGUAUAAUUUGAUAGAACCUACUAACCAUACGGAUCGGAGGGCAAGCUAAAGAUGAUGCAAGGAUAUUCUCUUUAGUCUGUCUUUUGCUUUUUAUCCAUUAUUUUUUGUUUUUUCUUUUUGCCAGAAAGAAUGUCUGGUUGUGAUGGACCACGCAGAUCAUUUCUUCUUUUUGGAAGGAAAAGGCUGUAAAGCGAAGCUACCGAUCCAUAGAAAGAAUCCUACAAUUUGUCCUACUACACUACACGUCGCAAGCCAGGGGAUCCAUACCCUUCCUUGUAUCACAAGUUAACGUCCUUACUGGUAUAGGGAUCUCUGAAAAGAAAAGCUGCUCUAGCCACUAGGUGGUCUCAGAAGAUUCCUUUAAUUAAUUUCAUUUUGUACAUCUAGCACUAUAACGGAAAUACUUCCUCGGUUAUAGUGCUAUAACGGAAAUACUUCCCAGGUUUUGUUUUUCUUUGGUUUUUUCAUAACUGACAUGUUAAUUACUAAAUAACCGAGGAAGUAUUUCCGUUAUAGUGCUAGAUGAAAAUAUGGUACUGAAUUAAUCGUCAGCAUUUUACAGGUAGCGGAAGAAGUCAGAAGUGGGUUUUGGUCAUGUGAUUCAUUCGUUCACAUAGCUAGAGAUAACAACAGGAGAAACCGAACAACGUUUCGUCCGGAUACAAUGAUGGUAUAUAUUGCUUCCCAUUUCGGCGUGCUUAUCGUAUAUUGCGCCCGCUAUGCUACACUACAGCUAAUAACUACCAAGGUCCGGCUUGACUUUCUGUACCUGUACGUUGUUUUAUACGUGCAUAUAAACCGGUCGGCAGUACAGGGCCGGCCAGGCUGGGAAAGAGGGAAAACGGAAGCCUCGAUCGGUACUCUCGCGUUAUAAUCCGGCGCCGGACCAUGCAACACCUCUGUUCACGUACGGGUUCAUCAUACUGUAGACUGUUGAGAGGUCUCGUCUAGUCUAGUAGUGUCUACGGUCUGCAUGUCCAGCCGGCGCGGCAACACGCACGUACGCGCGCACCUCACCGGGGUUAAACCUCCGACGUAGUAAAAAAAAAAAUUCAGAGUAGCAUCACAGCAGCAGUAAGGCUAACAAGAUUACUCAGCAAUGCGGCACCUAACAUGCGAAAUUUGAUGACUCCUCAUGUAACAUGUUAGAUGUUGUUAAUUACUUAAUACAUGUCAGUUAUGAAAAAACCAAAGAAAUGAUAUACGUCAUAUGUUGUACCAUGUAGUAAUAUCUAAAAUUACUUAGGUACCUUACAUUUCAGAGCAGAGGGAGUACUCACUUCCUGUGUGCCUGCGCAAUGGUUGACAUUAUACUUCAGCUGACCAUCUUAAC
rnacentral:lncRNA from 1 species